UGGUGGCAGGUGUGACCUUAUCCUCAACAGCCAUGAUCAAAUCUUGGUAAUAACUUUCAGGAACAGUGGAUUUCUUCUUAGCUGCACCUGAUAGUGAAAACCACACCUUAGGCCUUAACACAGGUGGGAUUCCUUUCCUAAUUAGCUUCUUCAGAGUAAUUGCAUUAACCAAACUAGACAAUUUAAGGGAUGUUUUUAGGGUUGAUGUAACUUGUGUUUGCAAAUACCAAUUUGCACCUUUGCUAGCUUCUAAUGCCCACCACACCUUACCCUGUUCCCUAACUUUUUCCCUAACCUCAUUUAACACAUUAACAUCAUCAACAUUUCCUUCU
rnacentral:lncRNA from 1 species